rnacentral:rRNA from 1 species
UACGGAAGGCAGCAGUGGGGAAUAUUGCACAAUGGGCGCAAGCCUGAUGCAGCCAUGCCGCGUGUAUGAAGAAGGCCUUCGGGUUGUAAAGUACUUUCAGCGGGGAGGAAGGGAGUAAAGUUAAUACCUUUGCUCAUUGACGUUACCCGCAGAAGAAGCACCGGCUAACUCCGUGCCAGCAGCCGCGGUAAUACGGAGGGUGCAAGCGUUAAUCGGAAUUACUGGGCGUAAAGCGCACGCAGGCGGUUUUGUUAAGUCAGAUGUGAAAUCCCCCGGGCUCAACCUGGGAACUGCAUCUGAUACUGGCAAGCUUGAGUCUCGUAGAGGGGGUAGAAAUUCCAGGUGUAGCGGUGAAAUGCGUAGAGAUCUGGAGGAAUACCGGUGGCGAAGGCGGCCCCCUGGGACGAAGACUGACGCUCAGGU